GUCUGCUGGCUCUCAAUCUGCACAUGGUGCAUUGGUGCUCUGCAUAUCCAUAAAGACCAUAAAUCCAUAUCAUCAAAAUUCAAAAGGAAGAAAUUCACGUGUCACGUCGGGCGUUGACUCGAAAGAAUCGAAGUGAUAGAUUCUCUAACUUUUUGCUUGAAACUGCAACAUAUUUGCAUUAAGACAAACUGGUAGAAAAUAAUUUGAGCGAUUAAAGUGACGGAAGUCACUUAAUUAACUUGAUUGGUUUCUAAAUGUAAUUUUCAGAAACAAGCUUCAUGGCAAAAAGACACACUGAUUUGGCCUUGGUCAAAUCAUCUGAUCACAUGGCUUGUUGGCUUGACUGCCGUCCAUUUUACCACAUUUCUAUGUGUACCAGAUGUAUGUCUCAUCUGAUGCUGAAAUAGGCCUACUUUACAGAAGAAGUUUCACAGCCAGUUGAAGUCUGAGUUUCAGCAGUGCUAUCUAACAUGCUCAUGGAUUUGUUGCAUCUUCAUUGAAGUCCAAUGUGGACAUGGCUUUGUUGCAGCCAGCUGGUGAAAGGUGUUCUUGCUGGCUUGCUACCCGUACCAGCUAUAGCUUUUGCCACAUACAGAAACACUAAAGAACGAUAGCUAAGCUGAAAAAAUUUUUACAUUAGGAUUAACAGUCAUUUGAAUUCUUGGCUUAACCUAUUUCUUCACUGCAUUCUAAUGUGGAUUUGUUAAGCCAGCUAGUUAAUUUACGUCAUACAAUCAUGCAAUAUUCUUAAAGGCACCUUUUUAAAAAUCUAACUUCAGCAAUCUAUUUGUAUCCAAUUGUUUAGGCUGCAUGGAAUUCUCAUUUCCCUUUGAUGUGAACUUCAAUCACAUACACUAAUUAAAGGUUUACGUUCCCAGAGUUGCUGCCUAAUGUGGCGUGUUGUUCCCGCCUAUGCCGAUGAAAGAUAUUUUUUCUUCAAGUUGAAAUGUGGCUGUUCGUUGGUGCUGGCGUCGUGUAGCGGAAGUUGCAUCCUGUAUUUUGUUCAAUUGUACAAGUGUCUUUAUCGUUUUUAUGUUGAGAAGUAACAGAAAUAUGGGGAGUUUUUACGUUAAAUAAAUAAUAAAUAUUUUCGGGAUUAGGAAAACACCAAGGAGGAAGAUGGUGGGGGUUGAUGACUUAAAUUGAAAUGCUAAUUAGUAGUGACGUGAAAUUUAGUGUUGACACUCUUAUUAACCCAUAACCCAACAUAAAUUCAGAUAUCUAUAGAUCUAGAUUAUCUCUAUAACCCAUCCCUCUCACUCCUCUAAUACUCAUACCUCUAAUAUCCAAACUCCUAAUACACAUACUUUUUAAUCUCAUACCUAAUUAAUGUACAUAUGUAACAUAAAUUUAUAUAAUAAACAAAAAUUCAUGAAAAUAA
rnacentral:lncRNA from 1 species